CCUACGGGAGGCAGCAGUGGGGAAUAUUGGGCAAUGGGCGCAAGCCUGACCCAGCGACGCCGCGUGAAGGAUGAAGGUUUUCGGAUUGUAAACUUCUUUGAUCAGGGAAGAAAGAAAUGACGGUACCCGAAGAACAAGCCACGGCUAACUACGUGCCAGCAGCCGCGGUAAU
rnacentral:rRNA from 1 species